rnacentral:lncRNA from 1 species
AAUCCUGCUGGGGGAAGGAGCCCCCGUGAUCUCCUGCUGUACCAGCAGGGCUGGCGCUGCCUGGCUCAGCCCCUGGCUGCAGCUGCUAAUUAAAAACAAACGAGGAGGGGACGGAUGGCAAGCGAUGCACUCCAUCGCUGCGCCCGAGCCACUUGAUUUAAGAGCGCUGCGACUCGCUCGGAUGAGUAAUGUGGAAAUUAAAUUUUCUGCGCCUCUGGGAGGGAGAGAUCUUGGCCACGAUUCCUGCUCCUUCCAGAGCACCUCGCUCGCUGCCUUGAGCACCUGGAGACCUCCGGGAGGUGCCAGCAGGAUCAAUCCCAGCUGGGACCGGAGCCCCCCACCCCUCUCCCCAAACCCCUCCCAGCAGCACUGGUGGCUCCGUGCAGGACCAGCCGAGUGCCCUGUAGUGCUGCUGACGGCACCAGACCCUCAGCAGCUCCUCCGGAUCGACAUUAAACUUAAACCAAAUUGCGUCGUGCGCUACAGUGCGGAUGCUCGGCUGCGUUUUCCUCUCCUAACGAUGGAGGCAGUGGGAAUUGCAGCACCAUUAAUUCCUCCCCCUGCCUCCCGUGAAUAUCCACAGGCUCUCCCCUCACCCUGUGCAGCGGGUCGGAGGCUGCUGCAGCCCCGUCCCCUUUUUGUAGGGGCUCGGUGCUCGCGGCGAGGCUGGGAACGAGCUGGAGCAGCCUGCGACCAGGCUCUCAGGGUGGGAAACUGCUGCUGAGCGGGCAAUGAAGGUUAUUAAAUGUCAGGGAGAAAUAAAGCCGCCUUUUUUAUUAUUCUCCUCCCCCCUGAAAUGGUUUGGAAGCGCUUUGUGCUGCAGUGGGAGAUGAG